rnacentral:rRNA from 1 species
GACGAACGCUGGCGGCGUGCCUAAUACAUGCAAGUAGAACGCUGAAGAGAGGAGCUUGCUCUUCUUGGAUGAGUUGCGAACGGGUGAGUAACGCGUAGGUAACCUGCCUUGUAGCGGGGGAUAACUAUUGGAAACGAUAGCUAAUACCGCAUAACAAUGGAUGACACAUGUCAUUUAUUUGAAAGGGGCAAUUGUUCCACUACAAGAUGGACCUGCGUUGUAUUAGCUAGUAGGUGAGGUAAUGGCUCACCUAGGCGACGAUACAUAGCCGACCUGAGAGGGUGAUCGGCCACACUGGGACUGAGACACGGCCCAGACUCCUACGGGAGGCAGCAGUAGGGAAUCUUCGGCAAUGGGGGCAACCCUGACCGAGCAACGCCGCGUGAGUGAAGAAGGUUUUCGGAUCGUAAAGCUCUGUUGUAAGUCAAGAACGGGUGUGAGAGUGGAAAGUUCACACUGUGACGGUAGCUUACCAGAAAGGGACGGCUAACUACGUGCCAGCAGCCGCGGUAAUACGUAGGUCCCGAGCGUUGUCCGGAUUUAUUGGGCGUAAAGCGAGCGCAGGCGGUUUGAUAAGUCUGAAGUUAAAGGCUGUGGCUCAACCAUAGUUCGCUUUGGAAACUGUCAAACUUGAGUGCAGAAGGGGAGAGUGGAAUUCCAUGUGUAGCGGUGAAAUGCGUAGAUAUAUGGAGGAACACCGGUGGCGAAAGCGGCUCUCUGGUCUGUAACUGACGCUGAGGCUCGAAAGCGUGGGGAGCGAACAGGAUUAGAUACCCUGGUAGUCCACGCCGUAAACGAUGAGUGCUAGGUGUUGGAUCCUUUCCGGGAUUCAGUGCCGCAGCUAACGCAUUAAGCACUCCGCCUGGGGAGUACGACCGCAAGGUUGAAACUCAAAGGAAUUGACGGGGGCCCGCACAAGCGGUGGAGCAUGUGGUUUAAUUCGAAGCAACGCGAAGAACCUUACCAGGUCUUGACAUCCCGAUGCUAUUUCUAGAGAUAGAAAGUUACUUCGGUACAUCGGUGACAGGUGGUGCAUGGUUGUCGUCAGCUCGUGUCGUGAGAUGUUGGGUUAAGUCCCGCAACGAGCGCAACCCCUAUUGUUAGUUGCCAUCAUUCAGUUGGGCACUCUAGCGAGACUGCCGGUAAUAAACCGGAGGAAGGUGGGGAUGACGUCAAAUCAUCAUGCCCCUUAUGACCUGGGCUACACACGUGCUACAAUGGCUGGUACAACGAGUUGCGAGUCGGUGACGGCGAGCUAAUCUCUUAAAGCCAAUCUCAGUUCGGAUUGUAGGCUGCAACUCGCCUACAUGAAGUCGGAAUCGCUAGUAAUCGCGGAUCAGCACGCCGCGGUGAAUACGUUCCCGGGCCU